AGACUGGGUUUCACCAUGUUGACCAGGAUGGUCUUGAUCUCUUGACCUCAUGAUCUGCCCACCUUGGCCUCCCAAAGUGCUGGGAUUACAGGUGUGAGCCACUGCGCCUGGUCUGAAACCUCUUAUUUCUAUGAGAGACAAAAGGAUGUACUGUGUGAUGUCUGAUUACACCCAUCGUUGUACCGAAGAGAGACCUCAGCAAAAUCCCAGAGCCCUGACUCCAGUGUCUCCAGCUGAGAGGCUGAGCUUGCCAGCUCCAUUUCUGACUGCUCAUGGAGCAGAAUCAGUGACCAAGGAGAAAAGGGCUGAGUGAAGAAACAAGUGUGAGUGCCAAGAUGAUGCCAAGGGCUGUGAUUUCCUGGUGGGAAGAAAGAAGGAAUAGAAGCCAAAGGAAGGGGGACGAAAAGCAAAACCAAGAAUCACAAGGAAUCAAGUUCGGAGAGAAUUUUGGUAGAGAUUUUGAGAGGGGGGCUUUAAGUCAGCCAUGGACAUACUGAAGCAAGAGGAAUGAAGGGAAAAAAGAAAAGGGGGGAAAAAAGAAGAAGAAUGGGGCCAAGGAGGAUUUAAGACUACCAUUAUGGGUUACAAGUUGAAUUCUCUUUAAUAUUCUUCAAGCAAUGACAGUAAAGAUUCAAAUAACUUUUAAAUUACCUUUGAUUUCUAAACCAAGUUUCUUGGAAUGUGAAAGUCUCCAAGACUGGGCCCUGCAGGGCCUGGGUUGGGCUACUACUGCCUAUGGAGAUUCUGAGGGUAUUAACCUUAAUGAUGGCAUGAAAUCAGUAAAAAUCAUCCACAAGCUUUU